UCCCUGGUGGCUUACAUGGUAAAGUGUCUGCCUACAAUGCAGGAGACCCAGGUUCAAUCCCUGGAUAGGGAA
rnacentral:tRNA from 1 species